UACGUGAGGCGCGAGCGUUGUCCGGAAUCAUUGGGCGUAAAGAGCUCGUAGGCGGCCGGUUGCGUCUGCUGUGAAAUCCCGGGGCUUAACCCCGGGCGUGCAGUGGAUACGGGCUGGCUGGAGGCAGGCAGGGGAGAAUGGAAUUCCCGGUGUAGCGGUGAAAUGCGCAGAUAUCGGGAGGAACACCGGUGGCGAAGGCGGUUCUCUGGGCCUGACCUGACGCUGAGGAGCGAAAGCGUGGGAGCGAACAGG
rnacentral:rRNA from 1 species